rnacentral:tRNA from 1 species
UGGCUCGUCGUCUAACCGGAAGGAUACAGGCGUGCGAAGUCUGCGAUGCAGGUUCGAGUCCUGCCGAGCCAG